rnacentral:rRNA from 1 species
UAUGUGAUCGUCUCUCGCAUAUCAAUAAGCGGAGGAAAAGAAACUAACAAGGAUUCCCCUAGUAACGGCGAGUGAAGCGGGAAGAGCUCAAAUUUGAAAUCUUAAAGGGUUUCCCUUUACGAAUUGUAGUUUAAAGAAGUGUUUUCUGUUGAGGUUUUGGUAAAAGUUCUUUGGAAUAGGACAUCAUAGAGGGUGAGAAUCCCGUAUUUGACCUUUAGCUUUCAACUUUGUGAUACACUUUCAAAGAGUCGGAUUGUUUGGGAAUGCAGUCCAAAAUGGGUGGUAAAUUUCAUCUAAAGCUAAAUAUUGGCGAGAGACCGAUAGCGAACAAGUACCGUGAGGGAAAGAUGAAAAGAACUUUGAAAAGAGAGUCAAACAGUACGUGAAAUUGUCAAAAGGGAAGCGUUUGACACCAGUGUUGUUUUUCUGAAAAUCAAUUAAAGAACUGUUUAUGCUAAGUUGUUUAGACUUUAUCAGCUAACUGUUUAGUUUUGAGCUUUUCUUUAAUGCACUUUUCAGUUAACAAGUCAACACCAAUUUCUUUUGCUGUAAAAAAGUUUGAGGAAGGUGGCUUGAGAUUCGUCUUAAGUGUUUAUAGCCUCUUGCCUAUGCAGUCGGAGAGAUUGAGGUCUGCAGCGUAGAUCCUUCGGGGCUAAAUGCAUUUGUGCUAAGUUAUAGCAUUUUAUAGACAACUUGUUGACUAUGAUUUGUCUUGUAGCUUACUCGCUUAUGUUAUUUUACCUACGCUUAGGAUGUUGACACACGCGCGUGCUCG